GGUUGUGGUUCAGUGGUAGAGUACUUGCCUAACACGUGUGAGACACUGGGUUUGAUUCUCAGAACCA
rnacentral:tRNA from 1 species